GGUUACUGCUAUCGGUGUUCGCCUAAGCCAUGCGAGUCAUAUGUUCUUCGGAACAUGGCGUACUGCUCAGUAACACGUGGAUAACCUGCCCUUGGGUCCGGCAUAACCCCGGGAAACUGGGGAUAAUUCCGGAUAACGCACAUAUGCUGGAAUGCUUUAUGCGUCAAAUGGAUUCGUCCGCCCAAGGAUGGGUCUGCGGCCUAUCAGGUAGUAGUGGGUGUAAUGUACCUACUAGCCUACGACGGGUACGGGUUGUGAGAGCAAGAGCCCGGAGAUGGAUUCUGAGACAUGAAUCCAGGCCCUACGGGGCGCAGCAGGCGCGAAAACUUUACAAUGCGGGAAACCGUGAUAAGGGGACACCGAGUGCCAGCAUCAUAUGCUGGCUGUCCGGGUGUGUAAAAUACACCUGUUAGCAAGGGCCGGGCAAGACCGGUGCCAGCCGCCGCGGUAACACCGGCGGCCCGAGUGGUGAUCGUGAUUAUUGGGUCUAAAGGGUCCGUAGCCGGUUUGGUCAGUCCUCCGGGAAAUCUGACGGCUUAACCGUUAGGCUUUCGGGGGAUACUGCCAGACUUGGAACCGGGAGAGGUAAGAGGUACUACAGGGGUAGGAGUGAAAUCUUGUAAUCCCUGUGGGACCACCUGUGGCGAAGGCGUCUUACCAGAACGGGUUCGACGGUGAGGGACGAAAGCUGGGGGCACGAACCGGAUUAGAUACCCGGGUAGUCCUAGCCGUAAACGAUGCUCGCUAGGUGUCAGGCAUGGCGCGACCGUGUCUGGUGCCGCAGGGAAGCCGUGAAGCGAGCCACCUGGGACUACGGCCGCAAGGUUAAAACUCAA
rnacentral:rRNA from 1 species